rnacentral:rRNA from 1 species
CCGGAGCUUGCUCCACCGGAAAAAGAGGAGUGGCGAACGGGUGAGUAACACGUGGGUAACCUGCCCAUCAGAAGGGGAUAACACUUGGAAACAGGUGCUAAUACCGUAUAACAAUCAAAACCGCAUGGUUUUGAUUUGAAAGGCGCUUUCGGGUGUCGCUGAUGGAUGGACCCGCGGUGCAUUAGCUAGUUGGUGAGGUAACGGCUCACCAAGGCCACGAUGCAUAGCCGACCUGAGAGGGUGAUCGGCCACAUUGGGACUGAGACACGGCCCAAACUCCUACGGGAGGCAGCAGUAGGGAAUCUUCGGCAAUGGACGAAAGUCUGACCGAGCAACGCCGCGUGAGUGAAGAAGGUUUUCGGAUCGUAAAACUCUGUUGUUAGAGAAGAACAAGGAUGAGAGUAACUGUUCAUCCCUUGACGGUAUCUAACCAGAAAGCCACGGCUAACUACGUGCCAGCAGCCGCGGUAAUACGUAGUGGCAAGCGUUGUCCGGAUUUAUUGGGCGUAAAGCGAGCGCACGCGGUUUCUUAAGUCUGAUGUGAAAGCCC